UAGACCUGUUUUAGGCAUGAAAGCCAGCUGGGUGACUGUGGGCCAAUUAUGCCUCCUGGCAUAAUAAACCUGCUCCAAAAUUCCCCCCAAAGAAACCCAGAAGCAUUUCAAAAAAGGUGCCUCAAGACUAAGAGCCAACUCUGGAGAAACUAAACCACUCUCUUUUUAGUUUUGUUGUGCAGGGGGAGGGCAAAGCCACUUUGAUCGGGAGAGGAGCGGCUACAUAAAUCUGACAAGUAAAAAUGAGGUACGUCUAAGGCACAGCCACUACUAUUUCAUUAACGUAUCAGCCACCACGGGUGGAAAAUGCAAUAGAAACGCGAGCUGCCUUUUAAAAUAAAAGCAUUUGAUCCAUUAGCAUGGACGUCAAUCCUUCCUUCUCUAGCCGGUCUGUCUGCCAGAGGAUGCUGGCCCAUUUUUCUUACGAAGGAGGCAGCAAAUUAAAUAUAUUCCGGACCCUCUUCAACCUCGGCUGUUAAGAAUCUAGGUGUCUCUUACAACACAACUGCUCCCUCUUCGGCUGCUUGUUCCUUAAAUCCAGGACUGCAGGACAGACCUAAUUUCCCAGGCUGGUUUCCAUCCUGUAAAUGAUUGGCUGCUGCUUCAAAAUGGGGCAAGAGUCUCAACAAUGGACUUUUUCACAGCCUUCCUAACUGUGGUGAGAUGACACUGUGUUGAGUUUGAUCUGGAUUGUACCAAUUCUUUUAAGCUUUCGAUUAAAGCUAGCAAUUAUUGACAGAGGCCAAAUGCAAAGGAUCCAAGGUAAGGUUGGAAAAAAAUUCUUUCAAUAAAGAGAUAUAGUUGAUGUGCGGCAGAGGGAGAAUCACUGCACAAGGGUUGUGCAUGAAUAUGAGUCAGGGAAAGUUCAUGUUUCACCUUUUCUCUUAUUUGACUCCUAUCUAAUCUAUGGCCUUUUCCUACAGAGGUACAACAUUAAAGCAGUAGAGUCUAUUUCCCCAACUAAAAGGAAAAUCUGGAACUGGAAAAGCUGGGCUAAGCAGCCCAAAUGUUUUCCCCAGUUACCCCAGUUUAGCAAAAUUAAAACUGCUGAUGGCUUCAACGCCACCUCCCACUUCUCUGCUAAUUCUGUUAUCUGAAUUUGCAAGGUUAACCAUCUCAAAACAGCGACUGAGGGCAGAAGAUGAAAAGGAAUAGCAACCCCCCAUCCGGAAUAGAAUAUAUUAAAUAAAAGAUCCCCAGUACAGAUACCCAACUUACAACUGUUCAAUUAGUGAUUACAGUGGCACUAAAAAAAAAAAGUGACCUUUGACCGCUUAGUAAGAAAUUUUGGGCUCAGCCAUGGCUGUACGUCAAGGACUGCCUGUAACAGAUCCAAAAUAAUGCAACAUACUCCCAGGUCUCAAAUAAUAAAUCCAUAAACGGGGGUUUAACCUCCUCGCCCAGGUCUUCAAGGCCCUACGAGAGGGGUUGGAUCCGUCUGGAUCUUUGCUCCAUAAGGAGCAAGAGAAAGCGAGACUGUCCCAUCACGAAUCUCAAGAGGUCUCCCUCUUGAGAUCAUCUAGACUGCGCAACUGCUCCCCAUCCUGAAUUCCUGAGCCCUUUCGGUCCCGUCGGCCUGCAGCAGGUAAAAUCUUUACUUGAUCUUCUCUGUAAUAACAUCCUUGCGGAGGCAAGUCUGCAGGACAUAGCUUGAAAGGUUGAUCUCCUUGCAGAGCACGCUGCCAGCAGGCUUAAUGCGCCGCUGGGAUGUGGCUGGAGGAGGUGCCAGGCGGCUAGACCGCAGCAGUAAUGCAGCAACUGCACGCCGAGGAAUAAACUGCAAGGCAGCUCAGUUUAAAAAAAAAAAAAAAAAACGGGGGAAAUUCCCUGAGACAAAGGGACC